GACGAACGCUGGCGGCGUGCUUAACACAUGCAAGUCGAACGGAAAGGCCCUGCUUUUUUGGUGUUCUCGAUUGGCGAACGGGUGAGUAACACGUGAGUAACCUGCCCUUGAUUUUGGGAUAACUUCAGGUAACUGGGGUUAAUACCGUAUAGGAGCUCCCCUUGCAUUGUGGGCGUUGGAACUUUUCGGCUGUUGGGGAUGGACUCGCGGCUUAUCAGCUUGUUGGUUGGGUAGUUGCUUACCAAGGCUUUGACGGGUACCCGGCAUGAGAGGGUGAACGGCGUCAUUGCGACUAAGGUACGGACCAGACUGGAACGGGAGGCAGUGGUGGGAAGCAUUACACAAUGAGAGCAAGCCUGAUGAAGAGGCGCCGCGUGUGGGAAGCCGGCCUUCGGGUUGUAAAAAGCAUUAGCCUGUGACGCAGCGUGAGUGACGGUAAUGAGUAAAGAAGCACCGGCUAACUACGUG
rnacentral:rRNA from 1 species